rnacentral:tRNA from 1 species
GCCCGGGUGGUGGAAUUGGUAGACACGCAAGCUUGAGGGGCUUGUCCUGUAUUUUAACGGGGUGGAGGUUCAAGUCCUCUCCCGGGCACCA